ensembl:lncRNA
AGUAAAUGGCUUGUGAAUCCUCAUGGCAAGUUCUCCCAGCGCAAUGAGACUCUGUAACAGGAAGUUCAGACAACAACACAUUCAUGUGUGAACACGUUACCAAGUUCUCAUGCAAACAUUCUUUUCUUGCCCUUCAAACAAGACACACAGGCAGGUAGGGCUGCAACAAACUAUUUAAACUAACACGCCUUUUAUUGCUGUCAUAUAAUACAUCUGUUUGGGGGGUUUUUAACUACAUGAAACACACAUAAAGUUAAAACCUUUCUUUUUUGUCUAUUACAUGUUGGCUUUGGCACAUAUUGGUAAAUGGCCUGCAUUUGUAUAGCGCUUUACUCAGUCCCUAAGGACCCCAAAGCGCUUUACACUACAUUCAGUCAUUCACCCAUUCACACACUGGCAAUGGCAAGAUACGUUGUAGCCACAGCUGCCCUGGGCGCACUGACAGACACGUGGCUGCCGGACACUGGUGCCACCGGGCCCUCUGUCCACCACCAGUAGGUAAACAUGGGGUAAGUAUCUUGCCCAAGGAUAUUUGGCAUGCAGCCAGGAGGCAGCGUGGGAUCAAACCACCGAUCUUCUGAUUUCUCUUUCACUGACUUGUGAACACUGUUUGUGAUCUGCCUUGUUUCUCUGUUCAUUUGUCAUUUGCCUGACAGUUAAAGGCAACCUGAGCUCGUCUCACAGCUUCCUUUGUGUCUCUGUAGGUUUCAUUUCUAACUAGUCACGAUGCCAGAGAGCGAUAGACCUCAACACACUUGGAUACCUCGAGUAAUAAGGUGUAUCUAUGGGAUUUUUCUCAUCAUGUUUAUUGUUGAGGGGAUUGUUGGAUGUGUGUACUUUAAUGACUGUCCAAGGGCGCCCUCCAUUCCCGUCAUUCUGGUUUUUUGUGGAUUCAUACCUGUCUUGUGGGGAUUGAGCCGGUUUUUGAACAGGUGCAAUAUUUUCUUCGACUGUCUGUUCCUCUACCUCUUUUUUGCCUGGUUCAUCAUCGGUAGCAUAAUCGUCUACUCCAUCUAUGAACCCGACUACAACAAGAACACUACAGACACCGAUCACUACUGCAACAAGACGCUCUACCUGUCUGCAUUUUGUUGCAUCACCCUGACCUACGUCCUGACAGGUGUUUAUGUUUUCACUUAUUUUUUUGCUCGCUGCACCAACCAGAUGGUUUACGAUGAUGAGGAUCGGCCACUGCUGUGGAGCUAAUCAUAUGAAAGUGUGUACGUAGACCAAUACUGAUGAAACAGAUUAGAAUGGUGCCACAAUAAAAUAUAUCACACUGUAUGAACAUAUGCUACUACUACUACUAAUAAUAAUACUAAUGGCACGGACUGAAAUAAAAUCAUAAGCAAACAACAGACCAAAUAUUAUAUUAAUAUUUUAAUCUGUUCUUUAUUUAGAACAUCAUACAUUUAAGGAAGAAGUGAACAUGACUUAUUGAGAUACAGAAUUCGGUUAAGACACUGAUGACCCAUCAUGGCAGAGUAAAUGAUCAUGAUUUUCCCUGUUUAACAAACAUAUAUAAGUUUUGUGUUAAUGAAAUGUGUGAUUUUGUUUAUUUGCCAACAUUCAUGCCGUUUCUUUUUUGUUUAAUUUUAAGUCAACAAAAAUAAAUAAAUAAAUAAAUAAA